GGGCCAGUGGUGCAAUGGCUACUGUAUCUGACUACAGAUCAGAAGAUUCUAGGUUCAACUCCUGGCUGUCUUG